rnacentral:lncRNA from 1 species
UGUUUCCGUACGUCAUUUGAAUUAGAAUUAUGCAUGCUUUUUUUAAUGGGAAUUGUGACGUCCCAAUGCAUCCUUACUAGCACGAAAACCCAUGAGACAAGGAUAUAUAAUACAAUAUUUGAUAUAUCUCUGGUUUCAGCAAUAAAGAACAUAAAGCUGGUCGGUUAUCAAUGUUUAACUGCAUUUUGCGGUUAUAUAUUUUUUUGCACCAUAUGGUUACGGGAGGUCGUACGUGCGGUUUUAAUCGCAGUACGUGAAAUCUUAAAUGUCGACAUUAUAAUUUGAUUUUAUCUGUGAUCGAAAUUAGAGACUUAUCACCACAGAAAUCUAAUAAUAGAAUGUCAUACGAAAAUUAAAUUGUGCACGAAAUUGUAAUAUUGUAAUGACUAUAUCCAGCAGUUUGUAAUGUAUUUCAUUCAAACAAAGAACGGUUAAAAACUUUUUUUAGUAUUUAGGAAAAAAAAGAAUCUACACUGAAAAAUCGAACUCCAAGACAAAAAAAAUAUGAAAGAAAAUUUGUAAUCCACAAUUUUUUCAUCUCGGAUGAAAUAAAUAUCUCUUAGUUUUUAAUGUAUCUGUGGCCUUUGUCUGGAACGAUUUGUUUAAUUUACCCUAUUACUCCUUCUUCUCUAACACUGUUAACAUAAUCAGUGCGAUUAAAAGAAAAAGAAAUCAUUUUCUAUACUUGAGAAUUUGUGCCUGAAGUGUUUAUGCAAGGUUCUGACAAAAGCGUCGGAAAACAGUCAUUUUAAAGCUUCCUAGUUAAGUUUAUAGAACCCGAGGGUACUUCUAUCUGACAGAUAAUUAUAUUAGGUUGUAGUAUUGUUCUGAUAAUUUUACCAGAAAGUACAACCCGGUUAUCAUUUUUUUCGAAGAUAAUUGUGAAUCAUAAUACCUCGCUCAAGUUACAAAGACAUUACAGAAAAGAAUUUCAUGGUCAGUGUCCAGUUUUUAUCAGAGUAGACUACAGCAAAAUCAAUAAAAUACUGAAAUUCGAGGUAAAUUCAAAACGGAAAACGGUAAGCAAAUAGCAAAAUCAAAAGCUCUAACAACGUCGUGUAAAUAUAAGAUAAAGAUGAUAUCGUCAAUCGCCCGUACCUCUUCCUUUUCUUUGCAUUGAACUGCAAAAGCUCCAUAUACCUGAUUUUUAAAUUCGAUAUUUUAUUGACGAGCCCUUAAAUGAAUGGGAAAAAAAAGGUUUCUGUUUAAGAAAAUUUAUUUUGACCACACUCCUGUGACAUUCAAUUGACGAAACAAUUCUCUUAAUCAAAUAUCUGUUUUUUUAUAUAAAUGAUUAAUUUUUAAUGACUCUUUGUAAAGCAACAGUAGACAAACUUAUAAAUAUUGGCAAGGUAUGCAAAUAUUUAUUUAGCUAAUAAAGUGGCCACAGGAGGCUUAACUUCAUUAAGAUAUACUUUAACUAUUUGUUUGACAAACAUAAUGUCUACUUUCCAUUUUCUUGCUUCACUUCAUCCAUUAUUUUUUUUUUCAACUGCAGUUGAACAUUUAACUGAAUGCAUUAUCAGUUUCAAGAAAUCAUGCGGGAAUUAUAAAACCGCUAUAGUAAUCUAAUACUGUCAUCUAAUUACGUAAUCGAGUGGUCCCUACAUUGGUAACGGUAACCACACUUGCGGCUUUCCUUGCAUGUUGCGGUGGCAGUUGUUUCUCGUAUUUGACCAAGACAAUCGUUUUUAUUUAUUUUAUAUUAUAAUUUCAUUAAAAAAGGUAGUUAAGGAAACGCGAUGAUUAAUUUUGUGCACUAAUUGCUGUUCUCUAUAUGAUACAAGCAACAUCUGUUUGUCGUGAAAUGAAGAUGCAAAAAGAUUAUUUUAAAUAACAUUCAGUCCAUAUUUUAAUAUUUAAUUCCAAAUAAAAUCUAUUCAAUCGAGGUUGCCGCAAAGGGAAAACGAUGUGCAUGUAUUAUGUCGUAUUUAGGUUUUAUCGUUGUUCAGAAGAGCAGUAAAUUAAUUCUGCAGUUUGUGAAAUAGAACUGGUAUGUACGGUGCAAUAUUGACUUACUUAGUGCAGUUAUCGAUAGAAACGUCGCGAGAUACUGGUGUUAUUAUCGCAUUCAAAAAGUUGUACGUCUAAUUGUCAUUAUUGCGGUUUUCACGGUAGAUUCAGAAUACGGCUUUUUUUAGUUGCUUGUUAAAAAAACUUCAAAUGUUUUAGGUUAAAGCUCUACCGAUUCAUGCGAGGUGGCAUUAUUUCCUCUCGAACAUGAAGUGUCUUACAGACUAUACUAAGAUCGACAGGCCGAUAUGCUACGAUACAAAUUGAUAGAUAGAAAACAGAUAUUGUUCCCGCUGAUUCCCUUGUAUAUAUGUGUGCAGAACUCAAUGGCACUGCCAUGCUAGAUACAUGUAUACCGUUGUCUAUUCGCCACGACAUUCUGGAGUGUAUAAAUCUGUACAAUUGCAGUGCGUAUAGUGUAUUAAAAAGAAAUUGAUUGCUUUUGUAAUUAAAAUGUAUAUUAAACAAAUGGUUUCAAUUCCGAAUAUAAAUUUUCAUAUUUUUUUAAUUUGCUAAUAAAAUAUUAUCUAACAGAAACAUGAAUCUUGAAAGUUCUGAAGGUAUUUCGCUUAUAAAAUUCGUUAAAAUGUAUUGUUGAAAGCCAUUUAGAAAACGUGCAUUCAAACGUUUUUAUUUUGGCUAACGUCUGCAAGUGCGUAACGCUAGGUGACACCAGUAUCAUACGACGUUUCAUACAUUUGAUUGCCAUAGUCUCAUUAUGCAAUUCAAAAGGCUAUUGUAGUUCAGUUUCAGAUUAUACUGGCUGGUAAAUAUCCACCAACCAUCUACUGAAAGUCGUACUUGUAAACUUGCUUAUUCACGGGUUAGAACGAGUAUAGAGUAGAAUUGACUAUCAAACGUUGUCGACUGAAUGUAAUGGCGGAUUGCAUGCCUAGUUACUGGUUUGACGAGUAUAAGAGUAGAAUCUGCUAUAUAAUCGGCUAUUAAGGGACGACAUCAAAAGUUCAAUGUAGGAUAAAGAACUUAAUUCACAUAGUUUUUUCACUGACCCCC